GAACAAGUCUACGCUGGCGUGAGGGUGAAUUAGUAAUUAUCAGAGUUCUGCAACCUCUCUGGCAGUGGUGACUAUUGUAAAAUGCAGCUGUGCUGCAUUGAAAAAUUGGAGGGUCCUGCCCAGGUCAUACAGUCAAUGUAUCUGCUACCUUGUUAUGUCCUCAGCAGCUGGACAACAAAAUGGGUAGUUAGUGGCGCAGCAGAGAAAACAUUGGCAUUGAACUUGUGGCCAGAAGACCUGAGUUUGAAUCCUGCCUCAUUCAUUCAAUAGAUAUGUGGCUCUGGGCUCUCUGC